rnacentral:rRNA from 1 species
GACGAACCGUGCGAACGUUGUUCGGAUUCACUGGGCAUAAAGGGCGCGUAGGCGGAUGGUCAAGUCGGGGGUGAAAUCUUUCAGCUUAACUGGAAAAGUGCCUCCGAUACUGACUGUCUCGAGGGAGGUAGGGGCAUGUGGAACUUCCGGUGGAGCGGUGAAAUGCGUAGAUAUCGGAAGGAACGCCGGUGGCGAAAGCGACGUGCUGGACCUCUUCUGACGCUGAGGCGCGAAAGCUAGGGGAGCAAACGGG